rnacentral:rRNA from 1 species
GACGAACGCUGGCGGCGUGCUUAACACAUGCAAGUCGAACGGAAAGGCCCUGCUUUUGUGGGGUGCUCGAGUGGCGAACGGGUGAGUAACACGUGAGUAACCUGUCCUUGACUUUGGGAUAACUUCAGGAAACUGGGGCUAAUACCGGAUAGGAGCUCCUGCUGCAUGGUGGGGGUUGGAAAGUUUCGGCGGUUGGGGAUGGACUCGCGGCUUAUCAGCUUGUUGGUGGGGUAGUGGCUUACCAAGGCUUUGACGGGUAGCCGGCCUGAGAGGGUGACCGGCCACAUUGGGACUGAGAUACGGCCCAGACUCCUACGGGAGGCAGCAGUGGGGAAUAGUGCACAAUGGGCGGAAGCCUGAUGCAGCAACGCCGCGUGCGGGAUGACGGCCUUCGGGUUGUAAACCGCUUUCGCCUGUGACGAAGCGUGAGUGACGGUAAUGGGUAAAGAAGCACCGGCUAACUACGUG